CUGAACAGACCCAGCUCUCCCAGGCUGUUUUCACAGGAUGGAGCUCUAGCCCUUUGAUCAUCUCUCUGGCCUCCUCUGGGCUCACUGGGAAGAAUGCUGGAGUGGCCUGAAUCUGAUUCCUUUGAAGUCAAUGGCAGAAGUCCAGCACUGAAAAACAGCCCACUAGAGCAUAAUGUAGCUGUUCAGAAUAAACAAGUGGAAACAA